rfam:Candidatus Magasanikbacteria bacterium RIFOXYD2_FTLL_36_9 rifoxyd2_full_scaffold_516, whole genome shotgun sequence.
UUGUAUAUUAUAUCGACACCAUAGACAGCAGGAGGCGAGAGCCUUAAUUACCUGCCGAGGUACAAAGUGUUUUAGAUUCACGUUUACACGGGAAUGAUAAAGCAAAAGUCGAUUUGUACUGUAUAGUUUGUCUGUGGAAACACAGAUUUUUUUAUUGUAAA